AUUGAACGCUGGCGGCAGGCCUAACACAUGCAAGUCGAGCGGAUGAAGGGAGCUUUCUCCUGGAUUCAGCUGCGGACGGGUGAGUAAUGCCUAGGAAGCUGCCUGGUAGUGGGGGAUAACGUCCGUACACGGGCGCUAAUACCGCAUACGUCCUGAGUGAGAAAGUGGGGGAUCUUCGGACCUCACGCUAUCAGAUGAGCCUAGUUCGGAUUAGCUAGUUGGUUGGGUAAAGGCCUACCAAGGCGACGAUCCGUAACUGGUCUGAGAGGAUGAUCAGUCACACUGGAACUGAGACACGGUCCAGACUCCUACGGGAGGCAGCAGUGGGGAAUAUUGGACAAUGGGCGAAAGCCUGAUCCAGCCAUGCCGCGUGUGUGAAGAGGGUCUUCGGAUUGUAAAGCACUUUAAGUUGGGAGGAAGGGAAGUAAGUUAAUACCUUGCUGUUUUGACGUUACCAACAGAAUAAGCACCGGCUAACUUCGUG
rnacentral:rRNA from 1 species